rnacentral:rRNA from 1 species
GACGUAGGGCGCAAGCGUUGUCCGGAUUUAUUGGGCGUAAAGAGCUCGUAGGCGGCUUGUUGCGUCGUCCGUGAAAUCCCAUGGCUCAACUGUGGGCUUGCGGUCGAUACGGGCAGGCUGGAGUUCGGUAGGGGAGACUGGAAUUCCUGGUGUAGCGGUGAAAUGCGUAGAGAUCCGGAGGAACACCAGAGGCGAAGGCGGCCUACUGGGCUGCACCUGACGCUGAGCCGCGAAAGCCAGGGGAGCGAACGGG